rnacentral:pre_miRNA from 1 species
CAUGCACUGGUGGGGUCCCUCAGCCUGGCCUGCACCCCCUUGCAAUCUGGGACCCCUCAGGGAUGUCGGAGAGCCAGUUUUGGACCAAUCCUGCAGGCCAGGCUGAGGGACCUCACUGGUGCACG